GAGGGAAAGUUUCAACAUGGGGACCUCAGUCUGACCCUGAAGCAACCCACACCUGAAGAUGUAAAGAUUUACACCUGCAGCAUCUACAGCAAAGAGGAAACCAUCCUGAUGAAGAAACAGGUUCAUCUAAAGAUAAAAGUGAAGGAGAACGGAGUCCUCUGACCUCAGACCUUCUGGACCAGAAGGUUACACUUGAUUCUGCUGAGGUGCCUGUGGAAACAAA